rnacentral:rRNA from 1 species
CAGCAGCCGCGGUAAUACAGAGGGUGCGAGCGUUAAUCGGAUUUACUGGGCGUAAAGCGUGCGUAGGCGGCUAAUUGAGUCGGAUGUGAAAUCCCCGAGCUUAACUUGGGAAUUGCAUUCGAUACUGGUUAGCUAGAGUGUGGGAGAGGAUGGUAGAAUUCCAGGUGUAGCGGUGAAAUGCGUAGAGAUCUGGAGGAAUACCGAUGGCGAAGGCAGCCAUCUGGCCUAACACUGACGCUGAGGUACGAAAGCAUGGGGAGCAAACAGGAUUAGAGACCCCGGUAGUCCCUGUCUCUUAUAA